CCUACGGGUUGCAGCAGUGGGGAAUAUUGCACAAUGGGCGCAAGCCUGAUGCAGCCAUGCCGCGUGUAUGAAGAAGGCCUUCGGGUUGUAAAGUACUUUCAGCGGGGAGGAAGGUGCUGAGGUUAAUAACCUCAGCAAUUGACGUUACCCGCAGAAGAAGCACCGGCUAACUCCGUGCCAGCAGCCGCGGUAAUACGGAGGGUGCAAGCGUUAAUCGGAAUUACUGGGCGUAAAGCGCACGCAGGCGGUCUGUCAAGUCGGAUGUGAGAUCCCCGGGCUCAACCUGGGAACUGCAUUCGAAACUGGCAGGCUGGAGUCUUGUAGAGGGGGGUAGAAUUCCAGGUGUAGCGGUGAAAUGCGUAGAGAUGUGGAGGAAUACCGGUGGCGAAGGCGGCCCCCUGGACAAAGACUGACGCUCAGGUGCGAAAGCGUGGGGAGCAAACAGGAUUAGAUACCCUCGUAGUC
rnacentral:rRNA from 1 species